rnacentral:rRNA from 1 species
UACGUAGGUGGCAAGCGUUGUCCGGAAUUAUUGGGCGUAAGGCGCGCGCAGGCGGUUCUUUUAAGUCUGAUGUGAAAGCCCACGGCUCAACCGUGGAGGGUCAUUGGAAACUGGAGAACUUGAGUACAGAAGAGGAAAGCGGAAUUCCACGUGUAGCGGUGAAAUGCGUAGAGAUGUGGAGGAACACCAGUGGCGAAGGCGGCUUUCUGGUCUGUAACUGACGCUGAGGCGCGAAAGCGUGGGGAGCAAACAGG